ACGACUUGUAAAACGAAACGGAGG
rnacentral:miRNA from 1 species